AUUGAACGCUGGCGGCAUGCCUUACACAUGCAAGUCGAACGGCAGCGGGGGAGAAGCUUGCUUUUCCUGCCGGCGAGUGGCGAACGGGUGAGUAAUACAUCGGAACGUGCCCUGUAGUGGGGGAUAACUAGUCGAAAGAUUAGCUAAUACCGCAUACGACCUGAGGGUGAAAGUGGGGGACCGCAAGGCCUCAUGCUAUAGGAGCGGCCGAUGUCUGAUUAGCUAGUUGGUGGGGUAAAGGCCUACCAAGGCGACGAUCAGUAGCUGGUCUGAGAGGACGAUCAGCCACACUGGGACUGAGACACGGCCCAGACGCCUACGGGAGGCAGCAGUGGGGAAUUUUGGACAAUGGGCGAAAGCCUGAUCCAGCAAUGCCGCGUGUGAAGAGGGCCUUCGGGUUGUAAAGCACUUUUGUCCGGAAAGAAAUGGCUCUGGUUAAUACCUGGGGUCGAUGACGGUACCGGAAGAAUAAGGACCGGCUAACUACGUGCCAGCCGCCGCAGUAA
rnacentral:rRNA from 1 species